rnacentral:sRNA from 1 species
GGACAGCGCCCGGACGGCCCCGGGGAUAGCGCGGGGACGGCGUGGAGCUCUUGCCCGACAGAGACCCGGACAGCGACGGGACCAAGAUCAGCACAGUGAAAGUCCAAGGCAAUGACAUCUCCCACAAGCUUCAGAUUUCCAAAGUGAGGAAAAAGGAUGAAGGCUUAUACGAGUGCAGGGUGACUGAUGCCAACUACGGGGAGCUUCAGGAACACAAGGCCCAGGCCUAUCUGAAAGUCAAUGCCAACAGCCAUGCCCGCAGAAUGCAGGCCUUCGAAGCCUCGCCCAUGUGGCUGCAGGAUAUGAAGCCCCGCAAGAACGUCUCCGCAGCCGUCCCCAGCAGCAUCCAUGGCUCUGCCAACCAACGAACGCACUCCACCUCCAGCCCUCAAGCGGUAGCCAAAAUCCCCAAACAAAGUCCACAAUCAGGUGCGAGGAUAGCUACAAGCCAUGGACUUUCUGUCCUGCUUCUUGUUUGUGGCUUUGUGAAGGGUGCUUUGCUUUAAUCUAAAGUGCUGACUUUUUUCCAAUAUCACUUUCUCUUCUUAAAGCAAAGAGCAAAUCGCCUGUAAAAUCUACGGAGCGGACAGCAAAGUUGACCCUAAACUCCAAGCACCACCCUGCACCCACUGUACUCUAAUUCACUACACAAGGAGCGCCUGCUUCUGGAAGCAUAAAUGAAGAGGCUAUCACAUGCUUUGUUGAUCA